CAUUAUCUGACCAAGCUACUUCGGGACAUGUGUGUAACCCUUGGCCCAGGUGGUGUGGUCACCUUGAUAAUCCCACAAGCUGUGUUCCCAAGAGGAAAACCAAGAUGGCCAUAGCAGAAGGGGAGUUGGAUUUUGAAAGGCAAAAGCAGCAUUUGGACAGGAAAGGAGGAAGACAAACACAUGGACAGCGAUAAUGGAAGGAGAUACUAGUAACCACAUGAAAGUAGGGGUUCAUUGUGGACAUCUGCAGAAGGAAAAGCAUUUCAGGCUCUGUUCCUAAGGAGGAAAGCAGGCAAGAGGCUGUGAAAUGAGGCAGCAGCCCCAGAGCACUGCCAUGCAUCUAGAGGUGGUGAGAAUGCAGAUCCAGGAAAGGCAGUGCCCUGGGCAGCUCUCGGGGACAGCAGCCUGGAUGCCAGUGCCUGCUGCUGGGAG
rnacentral:lncRNA from 1 species